AACCUAAACCAAAACUUUAAAUAUAAAUUUAAGCGGAAGGAGCAUCUGACGCGCGAACCUGAGACAUAAUUUUGAUCAUAUCUCCAAGAACACCGGCAGCGGUCACAGCAGCUCCAGCACCGGCACCAAUAACUACCAAAGGACGAGUAUGGUAGCGUUUAGUGGUAAAGGAUAUAAUGUUGUCAGACGAUUGAAGGUUAGCGAACGGAUGAGAAGCGUCGUACUUUUCAAGUUUGACAAGAGUGGUCUUGUUAGCAACGUCAGCCUCACCAACAAAACGGACAACCUUGCCUUCCUUCUCAGCUUCUUCGCGCAUGCUAGCAAAUUCUGAAUCAAAGUUAGGUAAUCCAGCUAAAAACUCUUCAGCAUUUACAGCACUCUUCAAAGGUUCAGGAAUGAGCGAUUUAACAGGGAAUGAGCUAGCUGACUCGACAUGAACACCAGCAAUACGAGACAAGAUGGUGACUUUACGAGCGACAUCCAUGCCAUUCAAGUCAUCACGAGGGUCAGGCUCGGUAUAGCCAUUUUGUUUGGCAAUUUUGACGAUAUCAGAGAAUGAGGCAGUUCCUUUCUUGCCGUUAGGAGACCAAACGUUGAAGAUGUAAGACAGAGUGCCAGAAAAGAUACCUUCAAUCUUUAUGAUUUCAUCACCAGUAGCGAUAAGUUCUUUUAAUGUGGAGAUAAUUGGCAAACCAGCACCAACAGAAGCCUCGUGCAUCAAUAAAGCACCGCUCUCCUUGCUAGCCUUGAUAAUGUUUUGAUAGACAUCAUUACUAGCAGAGAAUGCUUUCUUGUUGGGAGUAGCAAUGUUGAUUUUCUUGCUCAAAAAUUUAGGAUAAGAUUGAGCGAUUGCUUCAGAGGCAGUGUUAUCGACCAAAAUGGCGGGAAGGGGGGACUUGGCAAGGAAAUCUACCAAAGCAUCUAAUGAAUAAGCACCUUGGUUCUGAGAAGUAAGGUUCUUCCAUUCAGACAAAUUAAUGGGCUGAUAAUCCUUGGAGACGUAGUGACCUUCCAUACUAGAAAUGGCAACAACGUUAAAAGAGGUAGUGCCAUUGGUAGAAGCGUUUUCAUUAAAACCCUUAAUUUGGUUUAAGAGUUCACCGCCGAUGUUUCCUGUACCUAUUUAUUUUUAAGUGAUUAGCUUUCGCUUUACAAAACAUUCAAGCAUUCAAUUUAUUGUGUGCUUACCAACAAUAGCAACGUUAACGUUAGUUCUGCUAGCUGACAUUUUCAAAUAGUGGGUGGGAGAGGUAGAGAUGCUACGACGUUGGGUCGGAUUACGAAAAGCAGUGACAAGGGUUUUCUCAAAGGAAACUUUGGAAGAGGUGAUAUACGAAUUGAUAAUUUUGUUGUAGGGAAAUAAAAUUUUAGAAAGUGUAGAUAAUUUAGGGAGAUUUAAAUUUUUUCCAUGUCUAAAUAUUGUCAUACCAAACAUUUUUUAGAAGAGUUUAUUUUAUACCCAAAAAUGAGUUUUCAACCAAGGAAGGAUCUUUCUCUCUGAUUGAUAUCAAAGUUUUGCAGGUAUAUUUGUUGUGAACAAAAUGUGAGCGACAUUAUAUUAAUCGAGUCAGAACAUAUUUGUAAUAAUACUCAAAAGCGCAAAAUCUAUUACUGUAGCAAUAAUGAUGUUGAUUUCGUUUGAUACAAAUUUUAUU